CGGGGGUAAGAUAGUGAGAAGCCGACAUGGGGAAGUGAUCGAUCCUUGGGAUAAGUUUAAAUUUGCUUUUCUUUACUCCAUAAACUUUUUAUCGUGGGUAAAAAGAUUCUUCUUGGGGUAUAAAAAAAAAUCAAAUUUAAAUUUAGCUCAAGGGUUGAUGAUGUAUUUUCCCCAUGAAGGUUGCUUACUAUUUUACCCCAU
rnacentral:pre_miRNA from 1 species